UAAAAUGCACAGUGGCAGUAUGGUAGCCAAUGAGGUGUAUCUGAGGUGUGAUUAUUGCUGAUUAAAAACAAAAUCAUAAGUACUUCUAAAUGCCAAUGUUUUUAAUACUUUAAUUUGUAUUUAAAAGAAGCAAUACUUUCUGAGU